AAAGGGGUUUUGGAGAAGAAAGAAUCUAGCUCUCACACACUGGAGGCAAAGGGCAGAGGUAGAGGCAAAGGUAGAGGCACUCAAUUUAUUCUCCCUGCCGUCGCCCAUCGUCGCUUCUUUAUCUUCCUCAAAAUAAUCUCCUAAAGCAUAGAAGCUCAAAUCCUAGCUUUGGAAGGCAAUGUUGCUACAAUUAGCACCAAUUUAAGUGGGGGUUUUGUUCAAGAUGUAUUUUCUCUAGUGGAUAUCAUAAAGCAUGGAAGCUCAAGUGCUGGCUUUGGAAAUUGGAAUGCAAUGCAGCCAAAGCUGCUAUUUGCAAUCAUUUGAUGUAUUUGUUUAUUUUGGGUGUUGAUGUAUAUUUUGGUCACCUACUGUGUUGUAUACUUACUGUUUCUUUGUAACAAGAGUGUAUGGCCCUGUUUGGUACGCACACUUCAGCAAUGUUGUUUGCUAUUUAAACACCCAAAGAGGUGGGCCACAUGCUAAACUAUGUGUUUGCUAAGUGAUUUAGAACAAGUGUUGUUUGAGUUUGUGUUUAACAUAUUACUAUAGAGAGUGAAACACUCUGACAUCAUUUUAAACAACGGUACUCAAACUCCUCUAUCAAACGGCCCCUAUAUCUUUGUAACAAGAGUCUAUAUUAGUCAUAGAAUUA